rnacentral:rRNA from 1 species
AACGAACGCUGGCGGCGUGGAUAAGACAUGCAAGUCGAACGGGACAUUUUUAGUAGUAAUAUUAGAGAUGUUCAGUGGCGAACGGGUGCGUAACACGUGGAUACAUUCCGGAAAGCGGGGGAUAGCCCAGGGAAACUUGGAUUAAUACCGCAUGUGGUCGCAAGACUAAAGACGGGGAUCGAAAGACCUGUCACUUUCCGAUUGGUCCGCGGCCUAUCAGCUAGUUGGCGGGGUAAAAGCCCACCAAGGCGACGACGGGUAGCUGGUCUUAGGGGCCGACCAGCCACACUGGAACUGAGACACGGUCCAGACACCUACGGGUGGCAGCAGUCGAGAAUCUUUCACAAUGGGGGCAACCCUGAUGGAGCGACGCCGCGUGGAGGAUAAGGUCUUCGGAUUGUAAACUCCUGUCAUGCGAGAACAAGGUUGCAGGGCUAAUACCCGUGCAAAUUGAUGGUACCGCAAGAGGAAGAGACGGCUAACUCUGUGCCAGCCGCCGCAGUAA